CUUCGCGGCCGGCCUUGCCCUCUACACCUGACAAGUCGAACGGCAGCACGGGUGCUUGCACCUGGUGGCGAGUGGCGAACGGGUGAGUAAUACAUCGGAACAUGUCCUGUAGUGGGGGAUAGCCCGGCGAAAGCCGGAUUAAUACCGCAUACGAUCUACGGAUGAAAGCGGGGGACCUUCGGGCCUCGCGCUAUAGGGUUGGCCGAUGGCUGAUUAGCUAGUUGGUGGGGUAAAGGCCCACCAAGGCGACGAUCAGUAGCUGGUCUGAGAGGACGACCAGCCACACUGGGACUGAGACACUGAGACACGGCCCAGACUCCUACGGGAGGCAGCAGUGGGGAAUUUUGGACAAUGGGCGAAAGCCUGAUCCAGCAAUGCCGCGUGUGUGAAGAAGGCCUUCGGGUUGUAAAGCACUUUUGUCCGGAAAGAAAUCCUGAGGGCUAAUAUCCUUCGGGGAUGACGGUACCGGAAGAAUAAGCACCGGCUAACUACGUGCCAGCUAAUACGUAGGGUGCGAGCGUUAAUCGGAAUUACUGGGCGUAAAGCGUGCGCAGGCGGUUUGUUAAGACCGAUGUGAAAUCCCCGGGCUCAACCUGGGAACUGCAUUGGUGACUGGCAAGCUAGAGUAUGGCAGAGGGGGGUAGAAUUCCACGUGUAGCAGUGAAAUGCGUAGAGAUGUGGAGGAAUACCG
rnacentral:rRNA from 1 species